rnacentral:misc_RNA from 1 species
AGAAAGGCAUGCCUUAUUUAUUUUCACAUUUAGCGAGCAUUUUCAUUGCCAAAAAGGACUACCACUUAAACUUAAUAUUUGUUGAUUUAUAGAAAUCCUAUGUUGACAUACUAUGAAGUUUUUGGAAUUAGUAUCGCUGGUGAUAACUAGUCAUCAAAAUCUUAUCAAACCAAUAUACCCAAUUUCACAAACCUCCAAUAUUUCCAUUUUCAACACUAGCACUCUA